GAUGAACGCUGGCGGCGUGCCUAAUACAUGCAAGUCGAGCGAACAGACGAGGAGCUUGCUCCUCUGACGUUAGCGGCGGACGGGUGAGUAACACGUGGAUAACCUACCUAUAAGACUGGGAUAACUUCGGGAAACCGGAGCUAAUACCGGAUAAUAUAUUGAACCGCAUGGUUCAAUAGUGAAAGACGGUUUUGCUGUCACUUAUAGAUGGAUCCGCGCCGCAUUAGCUAGUUGGUAAGGUAACGGCUUACCAAGGCAACGAUGCGUAGCCGACCUGAGAGGGUGAUCGGCCACACUGGAACUGAGACACGGCCCAGACCCCUACGGGAGGCAGCAGUAGGGAAUCUUCCGCAAUGGGCGAAAGCCUGACGGAGCAACGCCGCGUGAGUGAUGAAGGUCUUCGGAUCGUAAAACUCUGUUAUUAGGGAAAAAAAAAUGUGUAAGUAACUAUGCACGUUUUGACGGUACCUAAUCAGAAAGCCACGGCUAACUACGU
rnacentral:rRNA from 1 species